AGUGAACGCUGGCGGCAGGCCUAAUACAUGCAAGUCGAACGGCAGCACAGUGGAGCUUGCUCCAUGGGUGGCGAGUGGCGGACGGGUGAGGAAUACAUGGGAAUCUGCCCAGUCGUGGGGAUAACGUAUGGAAACGUACGCUAAUACCGCAUGCGCCCUUCGGGGGAAAGUCGGGGACCGCAAGGCCUGACGCGAUUGGAUGAGCCCAUGUUCGAUUAGCUAGUUGGCGGGUAACGGCCCACCAAGGCGACGAUCGAUAGCUGGUCUGAGAGGAUGAUCAGCCACACUGGAACUGAGACACGGUCCAGACUCCUACGGGAGGCAGCAGUAGGGAAUAUUGGACAAUGGGCGCAAGCCUGAUCCAGCCAUGCCGCGUGAGUGAAGAAGGCCCUCGGGUUGUAAAGGCUCUUUUGUUGGGGAAGAAAAGCAGUUGGUUAAUACCCGAUUGUUCUGACGGUACCCAAAGAAUAAGCACCGGCUAACUUCGUGCCAGCAGCCG
rnacentral:rRNA from 1 species